GUGCUCUCUUCGGCAGCACAUAUACUCAAAUUGGAACGAUACAGGGAAGAUUAGCAUGGUCCCUGCGCAAGGAUUAUAAAUGUUAUUUUGACUCCCCCUGUGGUG